rnacentral:rRNA from 1 species
UACAGAGGGUGCGAGCGUUAAUCGGAAUUACUGGGCGUAAAAGGCGCGUAGGCGGCUUGGUAAGUCGGGGGUGAAAGUCAGCGGCUCAACCGCUGGACUGCCUUCGAGACUGCCUGGCUUGAGCAUGGUAGAGGCUGGCGGAAUUCCCGGUGUAGCGGUGGAAUGCGUAGAGAUCGGGAAGAACAUCGGUGGCGAAGGCGGCCAGCUGGGCCAUUGCUGACGCUGAUGCGCGACAGCGUGGGGAGCAAACAGG